GUUGUAUAGUUAAGUGACUAAGCGUACAAGGUGGAUGCCUUGGCAAUCAGAGGCGAAGAAGGACGUGCUAAUCUGCGAAAAGCUUGGAUGAGUCGAUAAGAGGCGUUUAAUCCAAGAUAUCCGAAUGGGGAAACCCAGUAGAUGAAGAAUCUACUAUCAACAAGUGAAUUCAUAGUUUGUUGAGGCAAACCGGGAGAACUGAAACAUCUAAGUACCCCGAGGAAAAGAAAUCAACCGAGAUUUCGUCAGUAGCGGCGAGCGAAAGCGAAAGAGCCAGUAAGUGAUAGCAGUAUAGU
rnacentral:rRNA from 1 species